rnacentral:rRNA from 1 species
CCUACGGGUGGCAGCAGUGGGGGAUAUUGCACAAUGGGGGGAACCCUGAUGCAGCGACGCCGCGUGGGUGAAGAAGCGCCUCGGCGCGUAAAGCCCUGUCAGCAGGGAAGAAAAUGACGGUACCUGACUAAGAAGCCCCGGCUAACUACGUGCCAGCAGCCGCGGUAAUACGUAGGGGGCGAGCGUUAUCCGGAUUCACUGGGUGUAAAGGGAGCGUAGACGGCCAUGCAAGCCAGGGGUGAAAGCCCGGGGCCCAACCCCGGGACUGCCCUUGGAACUGCAUGGCUGGAGUGCGGGAGGGGCAGGCGGAAUGCCUGGUGUAGCGGUGAAAUGCGUAGAUAUCAGGAGGAACACCAGCGGCGAAGGCGGCCUGCUGGACCGCGACUGACGUUGAGGCUCGAAAGCGUGGGGAGCGAACAGGAUUAGAUACCCGGGUAGUC